rnacentral:rRNA from 1 species
UUCACGGAGAGUUUGAUCCUGGCUCAGGACGAACGCUGGCGGCGUGCUUAACACAUGCAAGUCGAACGAUGAACCGCUUUCGGGCGGGGAUUAGUGGCGAACGGGUGAGUAACACGUGGGCAAUCUGCCCUGCACUCUGGGACAAGCCCUGGAAACGGGGUCUAAUACCGGAUACUUACUGCCUUGGGCAUCCUUGGCGGUGGAAAGCUCCGGCGGUGCAGGAUGAGCCCGCGGCCUAUCAGCUAGUUGGUGAGGUAAUGGCUCACCAAGGCGACGACGGGUAGCCGGCCUGAGAGGGCGACCG